UUUCCUGUAGUAAAGAAAAGUAAACGGGUAGGUUAAUUGUGAAUAUAAAGUAUUUAAGGGAUUUUUAUAAAUGUAUUCAUAAAAUAAUAUAAAGAUGUGCCUUUCCACAAAAUGUGAUCCUUUUCAGGUUUAUUAUGAAAGGUCAAAUUGUGUUCCAGGUCAGUGAAACCCUUCAGGAUAUAGUACUCAGGAAAUAUUUUAUGACUUGACUUGGCAAUGAAAAAGGGCUGAUUUGGAGAAAUGGGAAUGGCCAACAUAAGCACAGAAGCUGUACCCCAGAAAAAAGGAUUAGAAGGACAAAGAUCAGAUAAAUGAGCAGACAGGGUCCUGUUGUGGGUUCCAGCAGAGGGACCUAGAGGUGACACUGAAUACAUGAUUUCUGUCUGAGUCUUCAAGGUCUGUAGAAAUGUUAGAUGCAUCCGGUGGCUCAUUUGGGAAACAGCCCUGAGGAGAAAACUCUCAGUUUUCAAAAAAAAAAUAGAAAGAGAAAAAGAAGAGAAAGAAGAAGAGAGAUGACAAAAAGGCCGAAGUGUAAGAAAAAGGACCCAGGGACAGGUGCCAGCUCGGCCGGCCGGAGGUUGGCUGGAGGGGAAGGUUAGAGAUUUCCUUUCCCACCACCCAGACAGUGCCACUGGCAAGGACAUUGGGAUCUUGGAUCGAUCCCAAACGCCCCGGAAAGUAAGUACUCCUUUUCAGAGCCAUGAGAGAGGGAAGCAGGAAGCCAAAGCCAGCCCCUGGGGAGUGAAGGAGGAGAUGCUGGUGCCCCAGCAAAGCCACACACCUUCUCUGAACUUGGUGAGCGCAGAAAUGAGAGUUGGAAUUUUACCUACCACCCACCGAUUCAAGAAGACAACUUGAAGUACCCACUGCCUCCCUCCCCCCGCCCUUUUGAGGGUGUUUUGAGUUGCCAGGGAUAACCUUGGAUUUAGCCUCGUCCCUCAGCCUCCAGAGUUGUGGGACUGCAGUCACGUGCCCCCAAGCCUAUUUUAUAGGACAGUGGCAAAACUUUCGAUAGGCAAACUUUGUAUGGGCUGAGCUGCAGCUGCACCCCACUUUCUUGUUUAUUUUUUUUUUUUUUGUUUUUAGUGAUGUUUUAUUGUUUUUUCUUUUUCCUCCCAGACUGGGUCGCUUUCGCCCUAGCUAACCUUGAAUUCAAGUCAAUCCUCCAGCGUCAGCCUCUCAAGUGCUUGCCCGCAGGUGUGUACCACUCAUGCCCAUUCCAUAAAUGGAACGUUCAGUGACUAUGAGGCACUGGUCACUGCUACCGCUUUAUUCUGCUCAGCCAGCCUCAGCAGCAUCCUGGAGAGACCAGCUCUGCUACUCCGCCUGGAGCCCACCCUCCUGACCUCGAACUUCAGCUACAGAGUGAGACCACACCCUUCCCGUCCACAGGGCAGUGAUGUAAAUGUGGUGUGGAAGAGACUAGGAGGACCUAGCCCAGAGCCUCCUGCAGGGGGAAGUGGCCAUCAAUGGUGGCCUUUAUGGUGGCUGGCCUCGGAUGGGACUGGGAAGGAGUCAGAGCUUGGGAACAGAGGGAGCUAUUGUAUGAGGGAGCGGGGUGCUCCCUGAAGAGAGCAGCAAGAGUCCUCACCCGCCAGACCCUUGCUGGCCCUACUUCAUUAUUUGUAGUGGCAUUCGCCCAUCAGCCUGGGAGUCCGUGGAGGGAACUCUACCAGCACAGCAGCCGCCACAUUUUCCCAUACCCUGGAUUUGCCCGCUUCCAUCCAAGAUUAACCACCUUCCACUGUGCGAACAUUGUCUCAGACAGCAUUCGCGAUGUGGCCUCAGAGCAGAUAAAGGGCUGUUCAUUGUCACUGCAGAAGGAAAUGGGGGAAGGUCCCUCCAGCGUGCCCUGCUAGAGAUGACAACUGGGUGCGCCUCCUCAUUCCGUGACCUCUUGACCUUAGCCACCCGUGGGAGAAUUUACACCAUGGAAAGAGGCCAAUGCCGUAGCCCAGGACAAGCUGCAGAAGCAUUUAUCAGCACAAUCACUGUCCCCAAGGAAUUGGAAAUGGUGACUUGGUCCUGAACACCCCACUUAGGGCAUCAGAUUGGUUUCCUGUGCAGGAGGCCAGGUGUGAGAGAAGGGUUAGGGGGAUAGCACCCUCUACCCUAACAAGCCGAGGGUCCCUACUCCCAAGCCUCAUUUCCUGCCAGCCAGCUGGACCCCGGAUGUUUCUGAGAGCUGACCUUGACCCUCCCUGCUGAUGAAGGCUGGAGCUAUAGUGGAAGGAAAUUCGACACGCCAGGAAUGGCUCCCUCCAAAGGACACAGGCUCAAGAAGCCUUCUGCCCAACCCGGCUGAGGGCAGAACUGGAUCAGAACUGAAUCCUUGAGAUGACUUCUCUCACAGGGGCAGAGACAACUUUGAGUCACUCUGGCUGUCAGACCCUUAUUAAUAUCUGCUAUGUUUGCAGAUUCCAUCUUCGUAAGUCACUUUGUGAUAAAGUGGCUUCCUGCGGCCGGCUCAUCUGGACGCAGUAAUGUUUUCAUUGAUCUGCUGAUGCGUGCAUCCUGCUGCACCGGAUGGAAGGCUGCCUCUAACAGCCGGAUUCUCGGGUAUCAAAUUCCAGGAACAGCUCCAAGGCCAGGCACCUCUGACACUCCCAUUGUCAGUGAGCUCAGCCGUGGGCUGCAGAGUGCUUCCUGACGGCAGAUGCAAAGCGUCCAUCCAGCUGCCUCUUUCUGCUACACAGCAUACCUUCCCUGCCGAGAUGGACUGUCCACUCAACAUAUGAGGAAGAGAAGCUCUUUCCCGGCAAGUCGCUUCUAUCAAGAAUUAUAUCGGGGGCUGGAGAGAUGGCUCAGAGGUUAAGAGCACUGUCUGCUCUUCCAGAGGUCCUGAGUUCA
rnacentral:sRNA from 1 species